GAUGAACGCUGGCGGCGUGCCUAAUACAUGCAAGUCGAGCGAACAGACGAGGAGCUUGCUCCUCUGACGUUAGCGGCGGACGGGUGAGUAACACGUGGAUAACCUACCUAUAAGACUGGGAUAACUUCGGGAAACCGGAGCUAAUACCGGAUAAUAUAUUGAACCGCAUGGUUCAAUAGUGAAAGACGGUUUUGCUGUCACUUAUAGAUGGAUCUGCGCCGCAUUAGCUAGUUGGUAAGGUAACGGCUUACGAAGGGAACGAUGCGUAGCCGACCUGAGAGGGUGGUCGGCCACACUGGAACUGAGACACGGUCCAGGCUCCUACGGGAGGCAGCAGUAGGGAAUCUUCCGCAAAGGGCGAAAGCCUGACGGAGCAACGCCGCGUGAGUGAUGAAGGUCUUCGGAUCGUAAAACUCUGUUAUUAGGGAAGAACAAAUGUGUAAGUAACUAUGCACGUCUUGACGGUACCUAAUCAGAAAGCCACGGCUAACUACGUG
rnacentral:rRNA from 1 species